AUUGAACGCUGGCGGCAGGCUUAACACAUGCAAGUCGAGCGAGCGGCGGACGGGUGAGUAAUGUCUGGGAAACUGCCUGCUGGAGGGGGAUAACUACUGGAAACGGUAGCUAAUACCGCAUACCAUCAGAUGUGCCCAGAUGGGAUUAGCUAGUAGGUGGGGUAAUGGCUCACCUAGGCGACGCUCCCUAGCUGGUCUGAGAGGAUGACCAGCCACACUGGAACUGAGACACGGUCCAGACGCCUACGGGAGGCAGCAUUUGGGAAUAUUGCACAAUGGGCGCAAGCCUGUUGCAGCCAUCCCGUGCGUGGGCAGCAGGUCGUGGGGUUGUAAAGCACUUGCAGCGUGGAGGCGUCAUCCGCAGAAGCAGGAUCGGCCAACUCCGGGCCAGCAGCCGCGGUAAUAC
rnacentral:rRNA from 1 species